CUAAAAAGUGGAUUUUGCAUGAUAUGAGCCCUUUAAAGUUAUGGAUCCAUGAAGAAUUUUCUUUUUAAGCAGUUUACAAAUAUAUUUGGCUAUUAUAUAUUAUAUAUAUAUAUGGCUCACGUGAAGUUGUGUGGAAGUUGAGUCAUGUCAACUCUUUCAGUCUGGUGUCCUUCUUGGGGGAGGGUUCAUCACACCUACUUACUUUUGUGUCUUUUGUUCACGUAACGAGCCACUUCUUCGCAAGUGUGAAGUGAAGCCAAACUGAAGGAUGAUAUGGAACUUCCCUCAGACUAAGGAAGCUUUUGGUAUUUGUCAGUUGUCAAAAAAUGCCAGUAAAUUUAAAGCUAAAUAUUACAAUACAGUAAUACAUACAAUACAGUAUAAUUAAAACAAAUAAAAUAUCCAUGUGGAUGUUGACUGAAUGUUUGACUAAAGGGUGUUGUAUUCAUAACACCUGUAAUUUUCUACCUGCUUAGACAUAAAUAACUUUAUAUUCAGUUAUAAACGACUUUACAUUUAAGACGCUCAUUUCUGUUCACUUCUAAUCUGCCUGUGGGCCUGGAUUACACAUCACUGCUCCACCUGGUGCAUGAAUGUGCAAUUGCAGGUCAUUUCUUAAAAAAGUUUUAGGGGGCGUUAACAAGGCAGCCACGCAUUAAGUACAUCACAGUGGGGGGUCAUGACUGGUGUAGGGGGGCUUGGUGGAAUGAUACCUAAGUCAUGCUAAUGUCAUGACAAGAUCAGUGUGAAAUCCUGCAGCAACGAGGCAAUGAAAAUUUGCCGCUCCAUCUGUAUGUACUCCAGAAGUUUCUUUGUUUAUAAAGUAGCUCCGCUCCUGUGUAAGAAAUGCCAAUUGCUAGAACCGUUGAAUCUAACAGCUACAGCGACAGAGAGAGACAGUGUUGCAAGGUGCUGACACGCAAUUUGGAUGAGUCCAAGCCUCUCCAGCAUUUGUCCGGUUCAAAUCGUGUGAUAUAUGGAGGUCAUUCACUCAGCCCACAUUGUAGCUGCUAGCUCGAUGGUAGAGCAGUGUAGCGGCUAGCGCUAGUAAGUUGUGAGAGUCAGCUGCGUUUCUUAUUAUUACCGAGCCUAUCGUGUGUAUGUUGUAGCCCGAGUAGACCCAUGAACUUGGGUUAUUGCAAGUUCUAUCUAAGUCUAACGUGUGUUGUUGCUUAUCUAGUCAGCUAUUUUAGCUGUAAACGUGACAUGUUUUUUUUUUUUAUACAGGCUGACGCAUGCCAGCUACCGAAACGCGAGGAGGUUGCUUCUCAAACUGACGCCACUGCAGGCUGUGGACAAGCGGCUACCUUGUAGAAGAGUUGUUGCUCACCUCAGGAGCAAAGUGUUAUUGUGCAGAUCAUGUGGAAAAUGUGAUGGAGACCAUCUUCAAUAAAGUCCUGCUGGACCUUGUAAGCAUCCCUGUCCCACCGGCCCUCUGAGCAGAAUUUGAGCAACCUGACAGAAAGGAGAGUGGUGUCAAGGAAAACAGCUGCAUCCUCCAUCUGUACAGCAGCUGCACUGCUUUCAAUGUCUUCCAACACGUAAAGACAAAAAAGAUCCUCACAUCUCCCCAGCCAACUGCCCAUGACUGUACCUGUUCCACUCCAGAAACUAUGCUUUCAACAUAACUAUGAAUCCUACCCGUUCAUAUUGUGGUCUGCAAAUUGAACUGUGACGGUAACUUAUCCACCAUUAUAGUGCUCGUGCAUUGGUUCAAAAUAAAGUUGGCUUUGACUAAUGCUGUUUCACUGAACUAUUUUUGUAUGUAUAUACCUAAUGAGGGAAAACAGACAAAUGUUUUAUAAUAUUUCAGCUUUUAUUGAGGUAUUGUCAAAAAACAAUAAUUUAGGUUUUUCACAGGCGGUCUAAGUCCAACAUAGGUGCCUUGUCCCUCAGGAAACACUGUCCUGAUCCAGACCAGUGAAGGCGGGAUGACUUGGACUCUCCGCCCUAGAAGUCCCUAGCACCAGCUGACAAGACUUCUAGGCUAGAUACCUGCAACAACUUGAGAUUGCUACUACAUUUCCAUUAGUUAUAUAUUAGCACUUGAUAUAUCAUACACCUUACUAAAAGCAAUUAAAAAAAUAUUAGGUCAAUAUAUAUUUAGAAACAAAACUAUGUUUGUAAUCCAGAGUUCCCAGGUACAUUAUGAUUAAUCUGUAAAUAGUAAAAUGUUCUAAAGUUUUUUAUGAAUUUCUGAGAUACUGAUUUAUUC